GAUAAACGCUGGCGGCGCGCUUAACACAUGCAAGUCGAGCGAGAACCAGGGCUUCGGCCCUGGGGACAGCGGCGAACGGGUGAGUAACACGUGGGUAAUCCACCCUCGGCACCGGAAUAGCCCGGGGAAACCCGGAUUAAUGCCGGAUGGCCCGCCGGCCCCGAGGGGCUGGCGGAAAAGGUAGCUUCGGCCUCCGGCCGAGGACGAGCCCGCGACGGAUUAGCUUGUUGGUGGGGUAACGGCCCACCAAGGCUGCGAUCCGUAGCUGGUCUGAGAGGACGAUCAGCCACACGGGGACUGAGACACGGCCCAGACUCCUACGGGAGGCAGCAGUGGGGAAUCUUGCGCAAUGGGCGAAAGCCUGACGCAGCGACGCCGCGUGGGGGAAGAAGGCCUUCGGGUUGUAAACCUCUUUCAGGAGGGACGAAGCCACUCGGGUUAAUAGCCCAGAGGGUGACGGUACCUCCAGAAGAAGCCCCGGCUAACUACGUGCCAGCCGCCGCUGUAACAC
rnacentral:rRNA from 1 species